rnacentral:rRNA from 1 species
ACGGGGUGCAGCAGGCGCGAAAACUUCGCAAUGCGGGAAACCGUGACGAGGGAAUCCCGAGUGCUCAUACAAUGUAUGGGCUUUUCUGAUGUGUAAAAAGUAUUAGGAAUAAGGGCUGGGUAAGACCGGUGCCAGCCGCCGCGGUAAUACCGGCAGCUCUAGUGGUAGCCACUUUUAUUGGGCCUAAAGCGUCCGUAGCCGGUCAGGUAAAUCCUUGGGUAAAUCGUACAGCUUAACUGUGCGGCUUCCGGGGAGACUGCUUGACUUGGGACCGGGAGAGGUUGGAGGUACUCCUGGGGUAGGGGUGAAAUCCUGUAAUCCUAGGUGGACCACCGGUGGCGAAGGCGUCCAACCAGAACGGCUCCGACGGUGAGGGACGAAGGCUAGGGGCGCAAACCGGAUUAGAUACCCGGGUAGUCCUAGCUGUAAACGCUGCAGACUUGGUGUUGGAGAUCCUGCGAGGGUGUCCAGUGCCGGAGAGAAGUUGUUAAGUUUGCCGCCUGGAAGUAUGCCGCAAGGC